AUCCUUUUAUAGUUCUUAAGUAUGAUGAUUGGAUGUUUAUGCCGUUGUGUAACAUCUGCCUCCCUCAAACCUUGUUAUGACCUUAGCACAUUACCCGUCUGACA